GCUGAGGAUGGAGUAAGAGCACAAAUCAGUGGUGGAGCUAGUCAAAUAAGUGCCCAAAGGAUUUUCAAGUGGAUCAGAGAGUCACGUGGACCAAAAGGAAUUGUGUCUGCUCUCUCCAGCUUGAUGCCUCAGAGAUCCAGUGAGGAAGCCUACACUGGUAGCACUUGAUGUUAUUAACAGCAGGUUCCAUACAGUGAACAGUCAAUUUAAAGCAAGCUUCGAGUCUUGCCUGAAGAGAGUUGAUCUAUGAGUUGAUCAGUGUUUGCAUCUCUGAAGAACAUUGUGUUGGUCUUAUCUCUGAAGAUUUGCUGAUGGUCAAAACAACCACUGUAAUUUUCCAUUUGAAAACCUGAGGUCUUCUCCAGUGCAGUGUUGACAUGUUUUCACCCAAAUCUGCCAGUGCUUGACCAGGAACCCUGUUGGUGGUUACCCUUCAGGCCACCACACACAUCCCAACUGGGAUGCCACAGAGCAGAGGAAGAUCAACUUCCUCUCUCACUCCUCUGGCUUAGCUGAAGACCAAAACAUUAGUAAUACAAGACCUGGAAGCCAUGACAUCCCCCGCCCCCACCAUGCCAUUAGCACUCAGGAGCAUGGGAUGGCUUGGUCUUAAAGUAUCAAAGAACAGAUAUAGGGGUCUUUGAAUGACUAAUAUAGCUGAGGAGUUUAAUCAUCAAGAGAAACAUAAAGGAACUAGAAUCCUCUAUUUACAAUCUGCUGAGCUUACUUUCAGUUCUGUUUCUUCAAAUUAGGUCAAAUGAGGCUUUCAAGAGAAGA